CUCGGUUUAUGUACAGAGCAAGGAAAGCACUGAGGGCAACGCUGACCAAGUGGUGCCUCGAGUCCUCAAGGUGGGGUGCUCCUUCCAGGCAGCCUGCUCCCAGCCCCCCUUCCCCCACAGGGAACCCAGAUGGCGCCUGUGCCCAGUACAGUCUGAGCAGCCCUGUCCUGAGCCACCAGCGGAAUCAGAGCCAUGCGUCUACCAAAUUGAUCCUGGCAAGCAGGCAGGAUGCUUCUCCACCCCGGUGCCAGGAGUGUGAGCGUAGACGAAGGAAGACCCAGCCCCUGGCUGAGCCCCGGUGGCUGGCAGGCAGGGAGCAGUUGUUUUCCGAAGCUUCCCUGAUUAGCAUGCAUCAGACAAGCCCAGGGACCUGAGUGACACCUGGCUCUCCACUGCCGCUGUCAACUUCCUGCCCUUCGAUAAAUGAUCCAAAGCUGCUGCUGCUGCUCUGCGUGGGGAUGGAAAUGUGUCUCGGCACUAAAACCACUGCUUGCAUGACAUCAUUCCAUAUCAGAUUACACUGUAAUGUCAGGAAUGUAAUCAUUAGCAUUUAAACAUGCAUAAAAUUUAAUUAACCUACUUACCAGUUUGCUUAGAACUUUUGAAGGGCUACCUAGAGUCCUCUCUAAGCGUUUUAUUACAGAGUUUUGGAAAGCUCACAAAAGAGAGAAGUUCACUGGGAUUUUUCUCCCUAAAGCUGAUGGGCCGUGACAGAUGAGCAGAUGACCCGAGUUAAUUAUUAUUGAAUUCGUUAUUACUGCUUUGUUGUCACCCAGCUCAGCCAGGGUAAAAUGA